GGAGAGGUGUGCCGAAUUGGCAAGGCGCAGCUCUGGAGAAGCUGUGGGGAGUAAUCCCCUUGUGGGUUCGAGUCCCGCCCUCUCCG
rnacentral:tRNA from 1 species